CCUACGGGUGGCAGCAGUGAGGAAUAUUGGUCAAUGGACGAGAGUCUGAACCAGCCAAGUAGCGUGAAGGAUGACUGCCCUAUGGGUUGUAAACUUCUUUUAUAUGGGAAUAAAACAGGGUAUGCAUACCCUCUUGUAUGUAUCAUAUGAAUAAGGCACGGCUAACUACGUGCCAGCAGCCGCGGUAAUACGGAGGGUCCGAGCGUUAUCCGGAUUUAUUGGGUUUAAAGGGAGCGUAGGUGGAUUGCUAAGUCAGUUGUGAAAGCUAGGGGCCCAACCGUAAGAUUGCAGUUGAAACUGGCAGUCUUGAGUACAGUAGAGGUGGGCGGAAUUCGUGGUGUAGCGGUGAAAUGCUUAGAUAUCAGGAAGAACACCAGUUGCGAAGGCAGCUCACUGGACUGCAACUGACACUGAUGCUCGAAAGUGUGGGUAGCAAACAGGAUUAGAUACCCUUGUAGUC
rnacentral:rRNA from 1 species